rnacentral:tRNA from 1 species
ACUUAAAUAGCUUAUAAUAAGAGCAUAGUAUUGAAGAUACUAAGGAAAUACAAAUUAUUUUUAAGUA